CCUACAUGAAGCUGGAGUUACUAGUAAUCGCAGAUCAGAAUGCUGCGGUGAAUGCGUUCCCGGGUCUUGUACACACCGCCCGUCACACCACGGAAGUUGGGGGCGCCCGAAGCCACUUAGCUAACCCUUUUGGGAAGCGAGUGUCGAAGGUGAAAUCAAUAACUGGGGUGAAGUCGUAACAAGGUAGC
rnacentral:rRNA from 1 species